ACGGCUCAGUAACACGUGGACAACUUACCCUUAGGUCUGGGAUAACCCCGGGAAACUGGGAAUAAUACCGGAUAUGUCGCAAAUGCUGGAAUGCAUUGCGAUACAAAGCUCCGACGCCUAAGGAUGGGUCUGCGGCCUAUCAGGGUAGUAGUGGGUGUAAUGUACCUACUAGCCUACGACGGGUACGGGUUGUGAGAGCAAGAGCCCGGAGAUGGAUUCUGAGACACGAAUCCAGGCCCUACGGGGUGCAGCAGGCGCGAAAACUUUACAAUGCUGGAAACAGCGAUAAGGGGACCUCGAGUGCCAGGAUACAAUCCUGGCUGUCGUGAUGCCUAAAAAGCAUUAUAUAGCAAGGGCCGGGCAAGACCGGUGCCAGCCGCCGCGGUAACACCGGCGGCUCGAGUGGUAACCGUUAUUAUUGGGUCUAAAGGGUCUGUAGCCGGCUAGAUAAGUCUCUUGAGAAAUCUGGCAGCUUAACUGUCAGGCUUUCAGGGGAUACUGUCUGGCUCGAGACCGGAAGAGGUGAGAGGUACCUCAGGGGUAGGGGUGAAAUCUUGUAAUCCUUGAGGGACCACCAGUGGCGAAGGCGUCUCACCAGGACGGAUCUGACGGCAAGGGACGAAAGCUAGGGGCACGAACCGGAUUAGAUACCCGGGUAGUCCUAGCCGUAAACGAUACUCGCUAGGUGUCGGCCACGGUGCGACCGUGGUCGGUGCCGUAGGGAAGCCGUGAAGCGAGCCACCUGGGAAGUACGGCCGCAAGGCUGAAACUUAAAGGAAUUGGCGGGGGAGCACUACAACGGGUGGAGCUUGCGGUUUAAUUGGAUUCAACGCCGGAAAUCUCACCGGGACCGACAGCAAUAUGAAGGCCUAGGCUGAAGACCUUGCCGGAUUAGCUGAGAGGUGGUGCAUGGCCGUCGUCAGUUCGUACUGUGAAGCAUCCUGUUAAGUCAGGCAACGAGCGAGACCCGUAC
rnacentral:rRNA from 1 species